rnacentral:snRNA from 1 species
GACACAGGUUGGGUGUGAAAGGCCUCCUAACCCUACAGAGAAGAUUAGCAUGGCCCCUGAGCCGGAAGGACGAGCCAAUCUGUGAAGCGUUCCAUAUUUUU